rnacentral:rRNA from 1 species
GCAGUAGCCGCGGGAAUACAGAGGGUGCGAGCGUUAAUCGGAUUUACUGGGCGUAAAGCGUGCGUAGGCGGCUAAUUGAGUCGGAUGUGAAAUCCCCGAGCUUAACUUGGGAAUUGCAUUCGAUACUGGUUAGCUAGAGUGUGGGAGAGGAUGGUAGAAUUCCAGGUGUAGCGGUGAAAUGCGUAGAGAUCUGGAGGAAUACCGAUGGCGAAGGCAGCCAUCUGGCCUAACACUGACGCUGAGGUACGAAAGCAUGGGGAGCAAACAUGAUUAGAUACCCCGGUAGUCCCUGUCUCUUAUAC